GUGGGGAAUAUUGGACAAUGGGCGAAAGCCUGAUCCAGCCAUGCCGCGUGUGUGAAGAAGGUCUUCGGAUUGUAAAGCACUUUAAGUUGGGAGGAAGGGCAGUAAGUUAAUACCUUGCUGUUUUGACGUUACCGACAGAGUAAGCACCGGCUAACUUCGUGCCAGCAGCCGCGGUAAUACGAAGGGUGCAAGCGUUAAUCGGAAUUACUGGGCGUAAAGCGCGCGUAGGUGGUUUUGUAAGUUGGAGGUGAAAUCCCCGGGCUCAACCUGGGAACUGCCUCCAAAACUGCAUGACUAGAGUACGGUAGAGGGUAGUGGAAUUUCCUGUGUAGCGGUGAAAUGCGUAGAUAUAGGAAGGAACACCAGUGGCGAAGGCGACUACCUGGACUGAUACUGACACUGAGGUGCGAAAGCGUGGGGAGCAAACAGGAUUAGAAACCCCAGUAGUCC
rnacentral:rRNA from 1 species